CAUCAGUACUGUUUCACUAGUACAGGAUGGAACAUGUUCUGUGAUUCACAUCAGUCACUGGCUUCAUUAAUAAGUGCAUUGACAACAUCAUCCCCACAGUGACUUUACGUUCAUAUCCCAACCAGACACCAGGGACUACAGGCAACAUCCGCACUGACCUACAGGCUAGAGCUGAUGCUUUCCAAAGAGCUGGACGCUAAUCUUGACGUUUAUAAGAAAUCCCACUCUCCCACUCCCACUCCCACUCUGACGAACCAUCAAACAGGCAAAGAUUGAAUCCUACUACACAGCUCUGACGCUCGUCGGAUGUGGCAAGACUUGCAAACUGUCACGAAUAACAAAGAGAAACCCAGCCACGAGCUGCCCAGUGACACAAGCCUACCAAACUAACUAAAUGCCUUCUAUGCUCAUGUCGAGGCAAGCAACACUGAAUCAUGCAUGAGAGCACCAGCUGUUCUGGAUGACUGUGUCAUCACGCUCUCCGUAGCCAAUGUGAGUAAAACCUUUAAACAGGUUAACAUAACAAGAAUGUAGGGCCAGAUGGAUUACCAAGACUUGCACUCAGAGCAUGCGCUAACCAGCUGGCAAGUGUCUUCACUGACAUUUUCAACCUCUGUAGGGGAGCUGUGAACUCAUUCAGUUCUAGUGUAGAGACUGUACUCAACUACUCAUUCAGUUCUAGUGUAGAGACUGUACUCAACUACUCAUUCAGUUCUAGUGUAGAGGCUCCACUCAACUACUCAUUCAGUUAUAGUGUAGAGACUGUACUCAACUACUCAUUCAGUUCUAGUGUAGAGACUGUACUCAACUACUCAUUCAGUUCUAGUGUAGAGGCUCCACUCAACUACUCAUUCAGUUCUAGUGUAGAGGCUCCACUCAACUACUCAUUCAGUUCUAGUGUAGAGGCUCCACUCAACUACUCAUUCAGUUCUAGUGUAGAGGCUCCACUCAACUACUCAUUCAGUUAUAGUGUAGAGGCUCCACUCAACUACUCAUUCAGUUAUAGUGUAGAGACUGUACUCAACUACUCAUUCAGUUCUAGUGUAGAGACUGUACUCAACUACUCAUUCAGUUCUAGUGUAGAGGCUCCACUCAACUACUCAUUCAGUUCUAGUGUAGAGGCUCCACUCAACUACUCAUUCAGUUAUAGUGUAGAGGCUGUACUCAACUACUCAUUCAGUUCUAGUGUAGAGGCUCCACUCAACUACUCAUUCAGUUAUAGUGUAGAGACUGUACUCAACUACUCAUUCAGUUCUAGUGUAGAGACUGUACUCAACUACUCAUUCAGUUCUAGUGUAGAGGCUCCACUCAACUACUCAUUCAGUUAUAGUGUAGAGACUGUACUCAACUACUCAUUCAGUUCUAGUGUAGAGGCUCCACUCAACUACUCAUUCAGUUCUAGUGUAGAGGCUCCACUCAACUACUCAUUCAGUUAUAGUGUAGAGGCUGUACUCAACUACUCAUUCAGUUAUAGUGUAGAGGCUCCACUCAACUACUCAUUCAGUUCUAGGUUAGAGACUGUACUCAACUACUCAUUCAGUUCUAGUGUAGAGGCUCCACUCAACUACUCAUUCAGUUCUAGUGUAGAGGCUCCACUCAACUACUCAUUCAGUUCUAGUGUAGAGGCUCCACUCAACUACUCAUUCAGUUCUAGGUUAGAGACUGUACUCAACUACUCAUUCAGUUCUAGUGUAGAGGCUCCACUCAACUACUCAUUCAGUUCUAGUGUAGAGACUGUACUCAACUACUCAUUCAGUUCUAGGUUAGAGACUGUACUCAACUACUCAUUCAGUUCUAGGUUAGAGGCUCCACUCAACUACUCAUUCAGUUCUAGUGUAGAGGCUCCACUCAACUACUCAUUCAGUUCUAGUGUAGAGGCUCCACUCAACUACUCAUUCAGUUCUAGUGUAGAGGCUCCACUCAACUACUCAUU
ensembl:lncRNA